rnacentral:rRNA from 1 species
AGCGAACGCUGGCGGCAGGCCUAACACAUGCAAGUCGAACGCACCGCAAGGUGAGUGGCGCACGGGUGAGUAACACGUGGGAAUGUACCCUUUGGUUCGGAAUAACGUUUGGAAACGAACGCUAAUACCGGAUGAGCCCUACGGGGGAAAGAUUUAUCGCCAAAGGAGCAGCCCGCGUCUGAUUAGCUAGUUGGUGGGGUAAAGGCCUACCAAGGCGACGAUCAGUAGCCGGUCUGAGAGGAUGAUCAGCCACACUGGGACUGAGACACGGCCCAGACUCCUACGGGAGGCAGCAGUGGGAAUAUUGGACAAUGGGCGGAAGCCUGAUCCAGCCAUGCCGCGUGAGUGAUGAAGGCCUUCGGGUUGUAAAGCUCUUUCGCACACGACGAUGAUGACGGUAGUGUGAGAAGAAGCCCCGGCUAACUUCGUGCCAGCCGCCGCUGUAACAC